UUGAUAGAGAAGGGACAGGGAACAGAACCUUCGCCCCCCGCCUGAGCAGCUGGUAGACUAGAUAUCUUCCAAACAUUAUCUCAUUUACUUCCCUGGAGUUACAAAUAGGUAGAUUUCAUGUCCGUUGAGGGGUGAGAAAGCUGAAACUUUGAGACUUAAGAAUCCUGGCCGAGGUCAGCCUCCUCCGAAGCUUCAUCUCUUGCCACCACUUUCUGGUGCACACCUAGGACAGAUUUCAAUCCCUGAGAUCCCAGGAUGAAACCUAUGUUUGCCAAAUACCAGCUACUGUGCCAGAAGAGAUCAUGGAACCAGGUGUGGAAAGCUGCUUGAGAAGAGGAGCCAAAACAUCAUAGUUGAACCGUCCUGGAAUAGAAACUCGCCCUGAAUUCUUUCUUGUGUGAAAUCCAAGAGCCCUCUCUUGGGGUUGGAUCGGGACCCUGUUCCUGUAACAAGUCCACAAUGCCAGAGAAUUAAAGAGAACCACAAAGCAAGACCAACUCCCCUUCUUCCACCUUCCCAACCUACUCAAUGUGAAGAUGAUGAAGAUGAAGACCUUUGUCAUGAUCCACAUCCACUUAAUAAAUGCUGAACCUCAAAAAGUUAGCCUGGCGAGGGGAGGAUGAUGAGAUUUCCCCUGUUGUCACAUAAACAAGGAAGUAAAGGGGGCCCCUUGUGCUCUCAGAACUCCAAGCAUGAAACGAUUUUCUGCCAUUUCAGUUCCUGUUAUCGUGCUUUGAGGUGCACUGAACUGCAGCAAACCCAGGGGAUCCAAGGCUACGUUGAAAAGCCUUUGACCACAGUGCAGGGAGCAGAAGACAUUAAUGACGUGAUGUCGACACAGCCCGCACUCAGGAUCCUCCAGGAAAAGAACACAGAGAUAACCCCGGAUCGAUGGUACUUUUUGAAAAUGCUUUAUUGCAAAAGAGUGGCUAGGGUUUUACAAGGGCUAUGAAGAAACAUAUUAAGGUUAAUAAAGCUUUUUAUUGAGUGUUU
rnacentral:lncRNA from 1 species